CUUACUGCAAACUCAAAGAAGAUUUUAUUUAUUUUUUUUUUCAAAGAAGAUUUUAAAGAGUGAGUUUGGUGCCACUCUCCUCCUCUCCUUCAAGGAAAAAAGCUUCUUCUAUCCUCAGGACUUGCUGAGCUUUAGAGAGUGAAGAAGAUUCAUCACCCAGGCAAGGGGCAGGGCUCUCAACCUGGAACCGAGACCGAUUCCGGAGAAAACAGGAGAGGACACUAUUAGAGAGAAUAUUGUUGGUCGCACUUCCAUCCUACCUUUUCACUCACUUCUCCUCAUGGAAAAAGAAGAGCCCAGAAGAGCCCAGCACAUCUGGGAUACAGUCUCUCCUGGGGUCCUACACAUGGUACGGAAUUAGACACUGGAGAUGCCAAUAUGAAGACAUUGUAUUUUGAAGAAGACAAGCGUAGAUUUCCAUAAUAAUAUAAUGUGCUGUAUUUGGGUGCUGUAACUGAGAGACAAUAUUCUUAGUAGCUUCAGCUCUCAAGUAAUUUGGUAGGAAUUUAAAGCCUACUCCAUAUCUCAUCAGGUUAAAUAUUUGUCCAAGACAAGUUUUUCCACCAGUUUCCUCAUUUGUUAAAUGACAUUGAUAACAAUACCUACAUUAUAAGGAGGAGUAAAUUAGGUAAUGUCUGUCUCUAGAAUAGUGAGUGACAUAAUUACACACUGAUAUUAGCUAUACCUAAUACUGCUCUUGUUGUUAUAAAAGAAUUAUUGUACUCAAAGGCCAAAGAGGAAGAAGUGACUUAUGCAAGCUAGGAAGGGAAGAGGAUCAUAAUUAAGUAGAGAAGGGAGGGAAACAAUGCAAAGAGGUACGAAAAAAAGCAGAGCAGGUCCAGAGAACAAUGACUUUUCAGAAUGUAAUUGAAGUGAAAUGAUGGGAAAUUUGGACUAUAUAUAUUUGAAGCUCCUAAGUCUUUCAGAAAAGAACAUGAUCAGAUUUGGCUGUGGGGAGCAUUGAUGGGGGGAAGGGGAAAAAGUAUGACAAGAGACCUGGAACACAGAUCUGACUCUGGGCAGAUGAGAUUACAGAGAAUUGAGACUCCAUCAAAUUGUCUGGAUGAGACCCUGAACACAAUCUGAAGCUGGAACAUUAAAGAUGCAGACUGAGGUAUACGCUUAUAAAUUAUUUUAGACAUAUACAUGAUGAGAAGGUGGGCUUUAAGGCGGACUCAUUUCUAAUUUGUGUAACUAGAGUAAAUGAGUAAAUUUACAAAUGAGUAAGUGUCUAUUAGCUAAGACAGGGGACACAAUGAUACUUAUUACAAUUUUUAAUAAGUAUAAUAACAAUUAUACUUAUUAAUAAUUUAAUAAUAAGAGCUUAUUUAGCUCUUAAUUUGUACCAGGUUCUGCUAUAAAUACUUAUAAUGUGUUAAUUUAUUUAAUUAUCUUAAUGACGUUACAAGAAACUUGUAUUAUUUCCGUUUUUUCAGAUAUGAAAGCUGUGGGACAUGGAGAAAAAGUAACUUUUCCAAGGUCACAUAGCUAGCGACCAGUACAGUGGGAUAGCAAAUGUGAGUGAAUAGUUGAAAACACUGUACCUCUGAGUUCUGUGUUCUAUAGCUUCACUAGUCAGGAGAAGAACUAGCUCUGAGGAGAUAACUGGGAAAUAAGAUGAAUAAAGCUUAGCCUUAGGAAGGAACUCAAAUAAAGACUUCACUAUUCUUUCUGCAGCAUUCCAUACAUUUACAGUGUCAACACAGCACCAUUAUAAAUUCCUCAUUUUAAUUACUAAUCAACUUGAUCAUGUCUUUCUUACAAAUGUGUAUUACUUUCAACCAAAGGCUAGUCUGGAAUGAUUUCUUAUUAAUUAAUAUAUUCUUGCUCCUUGUGGUCAGGUACCCCUUUCAUUUUGGAUGUUAAUAUUUUCUAUUAUGCUGAGCUUUAUCUCAUUAUAGAUGGAGACUUAUUUAUAGUUAUGUCUAUAAAAUUAAUUAGAUAUUUAUUUAUUAAUGUAGAUCUGGGUGAUGGAAACUAAAUAUAAUCCUAAACCUGUGUCUCAGGAAACCAGUGAGGAUCCUCUCAAAAUUCCAUAUUGGCUUAUCAUUAUAUAUUUGUGUUAACUGCCUGCUUUUAUCCAUAUUAAUAAAGUCUUAAAUAUGCUAAUGAACAACUCUGUCUCUACAAUAUUCUUUGAUCUAUAGUAUCAAGGGGCCUAUUUAUUACAUACAUCAAACUACAGAAUGUUAG
rnacentral:lncRNA from 1 species